rnacentral:rRNA from 1 species
AUACGUAGGGUGCGAGCGUUGUCCGGAAUUACUGGGCGUAAAGAGCUCGUAGGUGGUUUGUCGCGUCGUCUGUGAAAUUCCGGGGCUUAACUCCGGGCGUGCAGGCGAUACGGGCAUAACUUGAGUACUGUAGGGGAGACUGGAAUUCCUGGUGUAGCGGUGAAAUGCGCAGAUAUCAGGAGGAACACCGGUGGCGAAGGCGGGUCUCGGGGCAGUAACUGACGCUGAGGAGCGAAAGCAUGGGUAGCGAACAGGAUUAGAUACCCUGGUAGUCCAUGCCGUAAACGGUGGGCGCUAGGUGUAGGGGUCUUCCACGACUUCUGUGCCGUAGCUAACGCAUUAAGCGCCCCGCCUGGGGAGUACGGCCGCAAGGUUGAAACUCAAAGGAAUUGGCGGGG